UACGGAAGGUGCAAGCGUUGUUCGGAUUGACUGGGCGUAAAGAGCACGUAGGCGGGUUUGUAAGUCGAUUGUGAAAGCCCCGGGCUUAACCUGGGAACGGCAAUCGAAACUGCAAAUCUUGAAUACCCAAGAGGUUAGUAGAAUUCCUGGUGUAGGAGUGAAAUCCGUAGAUAUCAGGAGGAAUACCGGCGGCGAAGGCGGCUAACUGGUGGUGUAUUGACGCUGAGGUGCGAAAGCGUGGGGAGCAAACAGG
rnacentral:rRNA from 1 species